rnacentral:rRNA from 1 species
AGGUAAGCUACUAAGAGCGAAUGGUGGAUGCCUUGACUGGUAAAGGCGAUGAAGGACGUACUAGACUGCGAUAAGCUACGGGGAGCUGUCAAGAAGCUUUGAUCCGUAGAUUUCCGAAUGGGGCAACCCAAUGUAUAGAGAUAUACAUUACCUAUAUAGGAGCGAACGAGGGGAAUUGAAACAUCUUAGUACCCUCAGGAAAAGAAAUCAAUAGAGAUUGCGUCAGUAGCGGCGAGCGAAAGCGCAAGAGGGCAAACCCAGUGCUUGCACUGGGGGUUGUAGGACUGCAAUAUGCAAGAGGUAAGUUUAGCAGAACAUUCUGGAAAGUAUAACCAUAGAGGGU